GAAAUGCGAUAAGUAAUGCGAAUUGCAGAAUUUCCGUGAGUCAUCGAAUCUUUGAACGCACAUUGCGCCCACUGGUAUUCCGGUGGGCAUGCCUGUCCGAGCGUCAUUACGCACCCUCAAGCCCGGCUUGUGUGAUGGGCCCUGGCGUCUCGUUCGCGAGACGGGCCCGAAAGGCAGCGGCGGCGUCGACCCGAUGAGCCCGAGCGUAUGGGGACUUUUGUCACACGUUUGCGGUGCGGACCGGCGCCUGCUUGACUUUUCUGAUUAUCCGGGUUGACCUCGGAUCAGGUAGGGAUACCCGCUGAACUUAAGC
rnacentral:misc_RNA from 1 species